GGUAACCAAAAAUAACUGAGAUGGAAAAACAUCAGAGGCUGUGUCAAAUAAUCUCAGGACAAGGAAUUGGAGCUGCAAAUUCUGUGAAUUUCUGUGUACAAAAGUUGCCUCAAAUGUAGCAUUUUCUGGGAGAAGAUAUCCGGUUGCAGGGCCAGCUCCAAAUCUGAACUGCGUUGCAGCCCAGUCUGCUUCUUUUCUUUUCUAUUAAAAACGGAGCUGCUGUUGCUGUAUUUCCUUGGUCCUUGUGGAGUAUGUGACUCUCAUCGGAGACCCAAGGUUGGUAAUAAUCACAAUAUCCCAUAUAUUUAUUUAAUCUCUUCCUGUAAUUCUUCAACUCUCUCUCUCCUCUCUCCGCUUCUGUUAACUUACUUCUUCAAAUGUUUUUUAAGAACAUGAAGAAAAAACCAAACAGCUCUGUUUAAUACAAUUUGCUGUAUUUUUUUCAACAAUAACAACAUAAAUUAAAAUGUGGAGUGAAUAGGUUCAAAAGAAAACAAAUCCAUAUUGUGUACUGCACAAGAGAGUACAGGAAGGCUUCUCAGCACAAUGCAUUGAGUACUGCACAAGGACAGUGCAGGCAGGCUUUUCAGGCAUCUCCCAUUUUGCUGCUUAAGUAAUUGAGCUUUGUCUUGAAAUGUGUCUGCAUUUCUCCUCCUGAACUUGCCUGGAGCCAGUUCUGCUGAUCGUAUCAGUGAGAAUAGAGGGCUGUAAUUGACCCAGUCACUACCCAGCCUCCCCCCCAUACAGUUUUUGCUAGUUUGAAAUGCCAGGUUUGUUGUUGCACUGAGAUGUCGUUGUAGGAGAGGCGCUGGUUCACGAGCUGUCCUUGUGUGGGUGGGAUGGGGGCACAGGGCAGCCUGGGGAGUCCAUCCUCCCCCACGAGACAUCUGGGAAUCACACAGGUGGGAACUCAUGGAGGGCGUGCAGAGGCAGGUGUGGAGCAGGGCUUACCAGCUGGGUGGAAAGGGUCAG
rnacentral:lncRNA from 1 species